UACAUAGGGGGCGAGCGUUGUCCGGAAUUACUGGGCGUAAAGAGCACGUAGGCGGGAACUUAAGUCAGAUGUGAAAGACCGGGGCUCAACCUCGGGGUUGCAUCUGAAACUGGGUUUCUUGAGGGCAGGAGAGGACAGUAGAAUUCCUGGUGUAGCGGUGAAAUGCGUAGAAAUCAGGAGGAAUACCGGUGGCGAAGGCGACUGUCUGGACUGACCCUGACGCUGAGGUGCGAAAGCGUGGGGAG
rnacentral:rRNA from 1 species